rnacentral:rRNA from 1 species
AGUGAACGCUGGCGGUAGGCCUAACACAUGCAAGUCGAACGGCAGCACAGUAAGAGCUUGCUCUUACGGGUGGCGAGUGGCGGACGGGUGAGGAAUACAUCGGAAUCUACUUUUUCGUGGGGGAUAACGUAGGGAAACUUACGCUAAUACCGCAUACGACCUACGGGUGAAAGCAGGGGAUCUUCGGACCUUGCGCGAUUGAAUGAGCCGAUGUCGGAUUAGCUAGUUGGCGGGGUAAAGGCCCACCAAGGCGACGAUCCGUAGCUGGUCUGAGAGGAUGAUCAGCCACACUGGAAGUGGGACACGGUCCAGAGUCCUACGGGAGGGAGCAGUGGGGAAUAUUGGACAGUGGGGGCAAGCCUGAUCCAGCCAUACCGCGUGGGUGAAGAAGGCCUUCGGGUUGUAAAGCCCUUUUGUUGGGAAAGAAAAGCAGCAGGUUAAUACCCCGCUGUUCUGACGGUACCCAAAGAAUAAGCACCGGCUAACUUCGUG